GUGCAAUAAAGUGCUGAAUUCCGUCUUCGGGAUCAAGAAGGGUGCAAAACACACAAGCCCUUGCUCUUCUGAAACUAAAGAUCUUAUUCCAGCAGGAAAUCACACCUUAAAGUAACUGAUCCUGCCAAAUACUUCAUCAGUUUCCACUAAGAGGGAAAGUGGCAGGCAUGUUCCAUCAUAGAUCUUCCCAAACGUGUUGAAGUGAAAGAGGAAAAAAAUUAGAUGUGUUCAUCUUGUUCAUCAACACCUCCACUGGAUGGACUUAUGGAACCAGUGAAACCUUUUGACUGUAGACAAGAUGCAGAUUCAAGUGAGCAACUGGCAAGAAAUUUCCCUUCUGGACAGGAGAAGCUUUCUGCAAAAAAGGGCUUGCACCUAAAAAAGCAAGGUACCAGCAGGGAUUUUAGCUUCUCCUCUUCAGUCGAGUACUUGUUUUUCAAUACAUUCAGUUUAAGAACAGUUAAGUUGUUGAAAUGAACCAGAGUGAUAAGAAAAACUAGUUUGUA
rnacentral:lncRNA from 1 species